UGUCUCAUUUGUACUCUUUUUCCCUUGUCAAGUUUUGUCCCAAUGGGUUUUCUUGACAAGGUUUUUAAUGAGGCAAAUGAUUCACAUUCAAAUCACCCAUUUGAUGAUCCAAACCAUGGUAUAACUUUCAGAAGUUGGCCUCAAGGAAUAUAUAUCAAGUCCAAGUCAUUUUAUGCCCAUUACAAGCCCAAGAAGAGCCCAAACCAAGUGGUUAAUUUGAUGGUCAAGAGGAGUGACGAAAAUGGAAGUUUAAGGGUCAUCUUUAAAGUCAAAUAGUCUUUUCUAUUCAAAUUCUAUCUUUAAUAUUA
rnacentral:sRNA from 1 species